rnacentral:rRNA from 1 species
UACGUAGGGUGCAAGCGUUAAUCGGAAUACUGGGCGUAAAGCGUGCGCAGGCGGUCCGUUAAGACAGAUGUGAAAUCCCCGGGCUCAACCUGGGAACUGCAUUUGUGACUGCAUAGCUAGAGUACGGUAGAGGGGGAUGGAAUUCCGCGUGUAGCAGUGAAAUGCGUAGAUAUGCGGAGGAACACCGAUGGCGAAGGCAAUCCCCCUGGACCUGUACUGACGCUCAUGCACGAAAAGCGUGGG